UUGUUUAGGAGAUUUAUUGAACAAGCCUUCUAAGGAGAAGAAGAAUCAUCGAACUAAUGGACUUACCGCUCUCUCCCAGCCAACAAGCAGUUAGCCUUCUUUUCCAAGGAAGAAAAAUGUGGAUGACUGGACAUCAGCAAUAACAGGAGUCGAGCUUUCACAAAAACAUACAUCUCAUUUUAGGGGUACUAAAAUCAACAUGUCAAUCAUCCCUACCCCGGAUCUUUGGACUUAAUGUCAUUCUUUUCUGGGUCCGAGUGAAAUAUAUGUCUUCACCCGUAUUUAAGUUAUUGUUGUUGCUUGGGCACUUGGU
rnacentral:lncRNA from 1 species